rnacentral:rRNA from 1 species
ACGGAAGGCAGCAGUGGGGAAUAUUGGGCAAUGGGGGAAACCCUGACCCAGCAACGCCGCGUGAAGGAAGAAGGCUUUCGGGUUGUAAACUUCUUUUAAGAGGGACGAACACAAUGACGGUACCUCUUGAAUAAGCCACGGCUAACUACGUGCCAGCAGCCGCGGUAAUACGUAGGUGGCAAGCGUUAUCCGGAUCUACUGGGUGUAAAGGGCGCGUAGGCGGGGAUGCAAGUCAGAUGUGAAAUCUAUGGGCUUAACCCAUAAACUGCAUUUGAAACUGUAUCUCUUGAGUGCUGGAGAGGUAGAUGGAAUUCCUUGUGUAGCGGUGAAAUGCGUAGAUAUAAGGAAGAACACCAGUGGCGAAGGCGAUCUACUGGACAGUAACUGACGCUGAGGCGCGAAAGCGUGGGGAGCAAACAGGAUUAGAUACCCUGGUA